GUAGAUAUAGUUUAAUAAAAACAUUAAAUUGUGAAUCUAAUGAUAGAAGUCCAUAACCUUCUUAUCUACC
rnacentral:tRNA from 1 species